AUUGGAUCGGUGAUGCUCUAAUGAAGAAACUGCGUUAUCUAUCUGAAAUCUCCAGUUCGGAGCUGAGGAUAGCUUUUAUAACUUUCUGAGAUCCUUC